GAUGAACGCUAGCGGCAGGCCUAAUACAUGCAAGUCGAACGGCAACCGGCAGCAAUGCUGGUGAGAGUGGCGGACGGGUGCGUAACGCGUAUGCAACCUACCUUGCGGCGGGGGAUAGCCUGGAGAAAUCCAGAUUAAUACCCCAUGAGACCACGCCCCGGCAUCGGGGAGGGGUCAAAGAUUUAUCACCGCAAGAUGGGCAUGCGUGACAUUAGCUAGUUGGCGGGGUAACGGCCCACCAAGGCUACGAUGUCUAGCUGGUCUGAGAGGAUGAUCAGCCACACUGGGACUGAGACACGGCCCAGACCCCUACGGGAGGCAGCAGUAGGGAAUAUUGGACAAUGGGCGAAAGCCUGAUCCAGCCAUGCCGCGUGAAGGAUGAAGGGCCUCUGGCUUGUAAACUUCUUUUGGCGGGGGAUAAACCACCACUAUAAGUGGUGCUGAAGGUACCCGCAGAAUAAGCACCGGCUAACUCCGUGCCAGCCGCCGCGGUAACAC
rnacentral:rRNA from 1 species